rnacentral:Y_RNA from 1 species
GGCUGGUCUGAGUGCAGUGGUGUUUACAACUAAUUGAUCACAACCAGUUACAGAUUCCUUUGUUCCUUCUCCACUCCCACUGCUUCACUUGACUAGCCUUAA